rnacentral:lncRNA from 12 species
GUGCAUGCCAAGUGCAGGGAGAUCUGCUGUUUCCUCUUCUCCCAUCAUCCAGCUCUGCUGCUGUCCUUGCAGGACCCCUCCAGCAGCAGAACCAGGAGGAGGCAGCUGUCUGCCCACCCAGGCAGAGAGAAAUGAUCCAUGGCAGAGUGGCAAGGGGUCUAGAGGACUGGCACUAAAGAAAAACCAAUAA